rnacentral:tRNA from 1 species
UAAAAAGUAAGCUAACUAAGCUUUUAGGCCCAUAACCUAACGAUGAAAUUUUUUCCUUUUUUA